AACAACCUGUUUUCCCUCCUUUUGAUUUCCAACCUAGCCUGGAAAAAAAUCUCUUCUAAAUCCCUUGAGGAAGCUGUUUUCAUUGAACUUCUGAUCCUACCAGAAGCAAUGUUUGUCCAGAGAAGUCUGUUGCCUCUCUUUAUAAAUUCAGUCUGAUGUUACAUCAAAGAAAUGCAGAUAAACACGGGGGCUGUAAGUUUCAAGUUCAAAAUAAAUCCCUAAUUUGAACUUCUCAAGAAGGUUUUGAAGCUUUUACAUAACUAUGACAAAAGCUUCAGGAAACAGAAUGAAAGGAAUUACAUGACCUCACUAUUAAUGACAACUGAGAGCUGAGACGAGGAAGACGGAACCAGUUCAGGAGCAGGUGGAAGUUACAGCUUUAAGACGUAUGUAAACAUUUCACAGAAGUUCACAGGUCAGCACGGGGUGGAAGAGCCAGGUGGGGAGCCUGGCCAGCUCUGGAAGUGCUUGCUCCACUGAGUUCCUGAGCAGGGCAGCGGAACGGACAGACCAGAGUGCCUUUUCUCAUAUUCUCACUGCUCCUUGGAGUCCACUGGCUAUUCGGUGAGUAAGUGGACAACAUAUGGCAUUAGUAGAAUAAUUAAGAGAGUACUUUCUCAGACAGCGAUUUUCAACGUCUCUUAAGGAUAAAGUGGCAUUCACAGGAGCUAAUGUU
rnacentral:lncRNA from 13 species